rnacentral:rRNA from 1 species
UACGAAGGUCCCAAGCGUUAUCCGGAUUUAUUGGGGUUAAAGGGUGCGUAGGCGGGUUAUUAAGUCAGUGGUGAAAGCCUUCAGCUCAACUGAAGAACUGCCAUUGAUACUGAUGAUCUUGAGUACGAUUGAGGUAGGCGGAAUGUGUCAUGUAGCGGUGAAAUGCUUAGAUAUGACACAGAACACCGAUUGCGAAGGCAGCUUACUAAGUCGUAACUGACGCUGAUGCACGAAAGCGUGGGGAGCAAACAGG